GGCAUGAUCUCCCUUGGACCAAGUCAACCACUUGGUCAAGGAUUUGGUCCAAAUCCAACCUAGAUUAGGUUUUCUAAUAAGUCAAGUACUUAUUGAGUCUAAACUUUUUAGACCUAUGAAACUCAAUCUGACUCAAACUCAAAUUAAGUCCAAUCAAGUUAAAUUCUAAUUUAAUUUAAUCAGGACUCAACCUUAAUUAUUUGAUCAAAUCAAAUAAUAUAGCAAUAAUUAUAAAUAAGUCUUCC
rnacentral:lncRNA from 1 species